CGUACUGCAUGACAGACAAAGAAAAAAGGGUCAGAAGGCCAGUCGUAACCGGAGGUUAGAAUGGGGGAAGGUCCAGCACAUGGAAUUGGGCAGUGCUAAAUCUAUGGAUUUCAAAUAAAUAGGACAAAAAAAAAAAAAAAAAGGAGGGGAGAGAGUGAAGAUCUGUAAAAAUACAUUUCCCCAAUAGGCCCUCAAAACGGAUUAAUUCUGGAUCCUUGAAAAGCAUCCUUGUGAAGGGAAGUAGGUAAAAGCAGCGUAGGUUGCUUUGGAGUGACGCUCAAAAUAAACACGUUGCGGAAAAGUUGCCUGCUUCAAUAUGUCUCCACAGCAAAAGUUAAAACGAGGACACCUAUUAUUAACACGGGAAUUAAUACAGGCUCCUGGUUUAAGCACAAUUUGAAAAUGUGGAAUUCCCAUGUGGAGGAAAAACGUGAGUUAAAGCAGUUAAUUAAUGUUAAGAUAGCCUGUUUUAAAUCUUCCCACUGUUAAGAAGGAAAGUACACAAGUAUCAAUGAUCUGUUGUUAUCCAAAGUUUAAUAACCAAAGAGUCGAUUUUUGGUUUAUAGCUAUUAUGUGCAAGCUACUUUAUUGUCGAUUUGCUGCAGAUGUGUGCAUGUGCUACUGAAAGUUUUGAAUUUUAAGUAUAUUAUUUGUUAAACAUUAAAAACCGAAAGUUAAAGUGGUACUUAAGGAUUCGAGGAAACUGCCACUUUUAAUCUAUUAAAAGCAAAAGUGUGAAUAAGUUGUUUUAAAAAACACUGACAAUUGCUUGAACUGAAAGAGUAAAGGCAAGUUUGUCAGUACAGUAACUUUCUUUUACAAACUGUACUUUGAGGGACAGUACACAAAUUAUUGCAAGCAAACUUAAUUUUAUGUCGUUUUUCUUUUAAAAACUUUAUUCAUUACAUGGUAAUGGUCCCUCACAAUAUUUUCAUCGCAUCUCAAUGUAUCUGAUAAGUCUAGAAAAAAAUAAUAUUACAUCCAAAAUAGUAAUAAUAAAUAUAUGUGCAUAUUAUUUCUGCCUAAUUCAAAUUUAAAUAUGCAACUAUUUUUAAAUGAAGGUCUGACUACAGCACUUCACAUUUGUGAUGGCAAAAAGUUAUGUUUACUUAAAGUUUAAUAAGUUAUCUUUGAAAAGUGAAGAUGUAUGUCAUCACUAAUGUUAAAUGUUAAAUUAAAAUGUUCAAAGACAAGUUAGUUAAAUAUUUUAAACACUGGUGACUUUAAAACGACAUUGUAUUCUUAGCAGUAUAGCUGUAAUACUGAUAAAUACAUACACUUGUAUUUUCAGUUACAUGCCUGUAUAUCAUUACUUUAUAGAAAGUUUGUCUCUUCCGUGAGAUGUCUGUGAUAGGAAUUGAUAGAAUCAAGAAAUUGACAAUAUAUAUAGGUUUGAGCCAAAGAAGAGGUGGGAAAAAACUUUUUCGCAGCGUCUCUAUCAGCCACGUUUCAAUAUUAUUUCACAUUUAAAUUCCAUUUUUUUAAUACGUACCCUUUGCGCCAUCGGCCUGGCUUGCUCCCUUCCUACUUCAACUUCUAAUAUAUCCUCUUUAAGGCCAGUGUGAAAAGAAACAAACGCAAACUCUCCCCCAAACCCCCAAAAAUGCAAAAAUCCCUUAGAGUCGCCAGCAAUGUGAGCAAUCGAGGAAAAUCUUCAGCUUACUGGAUCUCAAAGAAACGACACAGUAAUUCAGCAUUAAAAAAAAAAGAGAGAGAGAGAGAGACUCGCCCUCCUUCUCUUUCUUUCUCUCUCUCUCUCACUCUCCCCCUUUCGUUUCCAAGACAGCAGCGGGGAGAAAGCAAAUAUCCUUUCCCCAAAUCAGUUUUUUUUUUUUUUUGGUUUAAAAAAAAAGUGCCCCUCAAUCCCAACUACCAAGUCUCAUGGCUUUUUGCCACUCCAGCUGUCAAUCAAAGGCGAGGUUGUCAAGGUGGUGAAUGAAUGAUGAUGAUCCGCUGUGUGUACUUCCACUGCUCUGGACACCUCAAAUGUUAAUAUUCAAAUGCAUGGAGGUCUAAGCGCUGGCUUGUUCUUGAAUCAGUCCUAAUUCCUAAUCAGAUCUCGCUCGCGCGCUCCCUUUCCCCCUUUGCAGCGGGAGAGGCUAGAGGAAGAGGGUUAAAAAUGUCUGUCUGAGUUUGUCUUAAAGGAGCCACGAUCGAUCCUGCCUGCUGCAAGUCCCCCGUGCGUGUGUAAAGUGUGUGUUGCACAGGCGGAGAGGUGGAUUUGGACCAGAAUGCUGGAACCCGGAAGUAGUGGUGGCCAUAACAGGUCGCGUCUUACACAAUGCACUGGGCUGCAUCAACUCGGCUCCUAGCGCAGGGGUGGGUUGGGUGAGAUGCAAGCGAAGAGGCUGUGCGAGCCACAGAAGCGUUCAGUUAACAACACACACACACACACACACACACACAGGGUUACAGUUACUAAAAUAGAUGGUACUUCUGGUGUGCGGCUGGGCUAUCAGCUAUUUUAAGAGCUCCCUGUAAGCAGAGUUCAUUGCUGCCGGCCAAAUUAUGGGGUAUUGCAGGGUUGGGUGGUUUGUUUGUUUGUUUGUGUUUUGUAGGGGGCAGGAUUUGUUUCGGUCCCCUUUUCACACCGACCGCUUUGGGUCAUUGUUUGCAGCCUUUGCAAAAGAUCUGAGAUCGCUCACAUGAGUUAUGUGCAGAAGAGAGGAGCAAUGGUUAAAGAGACACCAUCCAUCCUUCUUCCCAGAGCCCUGCAAGCACAUCCAGUACUCCAGCCUUUCUGAGUGGUAGAGCAAAACUAGGAGAUGACCCAGAGCAUCUGCGUCUGGACACUGGCUUGUUUUUAUUGCCAGUGCUGUUACUGAAGUGAUUGGCAAGAUCAAGGGCAGGAAGGCAGAACACAGGAGUGCUGUCUGCUGUAUUUUCUCGCGGGCGCUCAGCUCGUGUCAUACGCAGCAAUCCACGCCACUCUGCCUAGCCGUCUCGGAGUUUAAUGGCCAUUUCCUUUGUCUAAUAGCAAUGGUUACUUUGUAUUUACACCCCCUCCGUACGGCAGCGCUCGAAAGGAUCAGCAAUUCCCCCCCCCCUUCUCCCCCCCCCCACACCCAACCGGAGGACUUUCAUCCUUUUUUGUAUCCAGAGCAAACAGUCUCCCCCCCCCCCCCCAACUCCCAGCAACGAAAGUAAAAUAGAGCGAAGUUGAGCUUUAGAACGAAAGGACCAAAACGCACUUCGGAUGCGCCGGGCUCAUUUGCUAGAAUUUAUUCGGUGCCCAUGUAACUCUGAGCAGAUGUUCCACACAGACAGUAGUUGAUUCAAAUAUGCAACAUCUUUCAGAGCAGAGAUCCGUGAGACGGGGUUGUUGUUUUUUUUUUUUUUCCUCUCUCCCUCUUCCCCCUCCCCCAAGCGCCAAGUCCCUCAGAAAACUCCCCCUGCGGUAUGUUGGAAAAUGAGCUCACCCAAAUCUCAGUAGGCAGCAGUGGAGGAGCCGCAGUCCAAUCAGGAGCUUUUCUUCGAAAGCCAGCCGUGCAUUGGUGGAGGGGAAAAUCAAUUAUCAAAUAAUCGAUCAGCAGGGAGCUUCGAUCUGCGGGGAGUGCCAAAAAAGUCUCCCUCGGAACAGAGAGGCUAAGUUCUCCAAAGCAGAAAGAUUGCUCACUUGUUCUGCUUAGCCAUAGUACAAGCUGCUGCCUAGGGGCAGACAUAAACAUACCCUGCAAGGGGAAUAAAAGACACCCUUCACUCUCUCUCUUUCUCUCUCUCUAUAUACAGAGAGAGAGAGAGAGAGAGAAAAGUACUUUUAAAAAGUUAAGAUACGACAUAUUUAUGUCAACACGAUGUUACGGAGCUUGAUAUGUGAACUCAGCAGGCUGACAGAUUAUACUGACACAGCAAAGCAUUCAGUGCCAGCGUUUACUGUUUACAACACACACGUUUGUGAACCCGAAGCAUCUUCAGCAGUGUUCCUUGCAUGCGGUGCUCCAUACACGUCAUGUAAUGAUCGUACUUUUGAUUGUUUUGGGUAAGGAAGAUCGCUUUUUCCUGUGGCAUUACAUCUGCAACUUUUGACUUAACAGCAGAACCUGAAAUAGUAAGAACGAUCACUAGGAAGUGGUCUUCUCGUUAGUGUUUACCAGGAAAUAUUCUGAUUUAUUUCAAUUUCUCGAUUUAAAAAAAAAAGAACUCUAUGCUUAUGAUUUAUUAUUAUGGCAAUUUUAUGUUUGCUUUUGGGAUGCUCAGGCAGUAAGUCUUAAACAGAGAUAAAUCACAUACGAUUUCUGCCAGGCCAAAGUCUGAAAUGUAAUGUUAACAGACGGAAUUCCCAGCAUCAACAUAAUCCCUGCCUGCGACCUAAAUCUUCUCUUAAAGUAUAUUUUAGGGGGCAAAACAGAUUUAAACUCACUUUAAAAAAACAAACCAGAACCCAGGACUUUUCUGAAGCUGUAAUUGCAGCGACGACGCAAAAUAAAACAGUAUUUUUAUAGGGAUUGCCAUUGAGAGAGCUCUAGUAUUCCCUAAAUCGUCUCUUUUCUCCGCAGGCGAGUACAGUUGUUUCAUAUUCUACCUGUGUGAUUAUUCAAAUGAUCCGCCGGCUAGAUGUUUCAAAUUUGUCUCAGAAAGGAAAGAUCUGUCAUCGAUCAGAUCAGUUCAGUAGGGUGGCAAAAAAGUGCCAAAUCAAACAUUAAAGUAUUCACACAUAGGGCUCAACGAUCCUUAAAUGAGCUGCAUGGGGCGGGUUAUCCGAGUAAAAUCUACAAAAUAGAAAUUACUGUGAAAUGCACUUGGGUAAAGCUGCUUUUUAACAGCUUUGAGAGACCAUGGAGGAGACAGAUCAGAACAAUUUGAAGCGUGGAGAUACUCUUUAGUCCAUCUCUUGCCGCGACAUUUCAAACCUCAAUAAAACCGUUUCGAUUCCGACCCCCCCCCCCCAACACACACACACUUUGCUGUAGGACAAACCUUCUAUGCCAGCGAUGAAUAUAAAGAUUUUUCAGAUUUAGCAUUUAAGAUGACGUGUUUUGCUUUGGAGUCUUGUAUGCACUACUUCUGUGAUGCCACAUCGAUAAUCAUUUUACUUAUUCCUCACCUCAGAAGUUUGCAAUUUGAACUUGUAUAAGCGAAGGCCUUUCACAUGAGGUAGGAGGAGAGGUCUGAAAGUUCAGAUGAUGAUUCAGAGCAAAAUGAUGAAGAAAGUCCUCGAUUAAGUGGAAUUUGUAUAUAUUUGCUUAUCAUAUAAUAAAUAAGACUUUAAAUCAGCCUGAAUUUCCUAGCUUAAGUACAUAAUUAAUCUUACCUAAUAGCAUUAAAAUGAAUACUAGUUUUCUGAUGACUUUUUAUAGUUUGAUGGGAAGGGGCUUGCAGUUGGGAAAAAAAUCAACAACAAUACAUACUCCUUCCCCAUUAAUAUUUACAUUUAAAAAUUCAAAUAAGGACAAAAUCCCCGAAGAAAACAGAUUUUAAAUGCAGUAGAGAGAUAAUAAAGGAAUGUGGCAGAUAAGAGUUUCAAGUGAUAUGAGUCAAGAUACCAAAAAGUCAAAGCCUAAUGAAUGGCUGUGAGAAAGGUGAAGAACUAUUUAAAGAUCUAUUAAAGGGCAAAAUCUGAAAAGGUGAUAAUAAAAGGAGGUUAACUGGAGGGGAUUAAGUGAAGAUGUGAAUCAAGUGCCCAUGUGCAAGUAAAACUGUGGUUCAUGGAGGUUUGUUUACUGGAUUCUGCUUCAGAAAACAAAGAACGCCUGGUCCAGUUAGGAGUCAACCAGAGGUCAGCUUGUGCUAUCCAACAGUCAGAGACAAAAUAGUCAAGUCACUGUAUUCAGUAAACAGUCUGAAUGAAUAAUGGUAGAAACGCACUUUGCGAAGGAAAGAGCUGGUUUCAUUAGACUUUUCUAUUUCAGCUCUUUAGAAUAGCACGGAACUUGAGGGGAGGAGUAAAAUGAAGGAGGGGGGGCACUACUCUCUUUAACAUAAUUACCAGUUCUGACACUUUCAGAAAUUAUAGAGGUCUUUUAUUAAUUAAAUGGAGGGCUUAAUAAAAUAUUCAUAAUAAAAUGUACGGUUGACGUAAAACUUUCUAAACACUGCUGUAAAUUUUUAAUAAAUUAACUGAGCAAUGAGUUACUGGCCUUGGCUUUUGUCACUUAAACUUCUGCAUAAGUAGUGAAUGCAGAGUGACAGCAACGUGGGAACCUUUCAGAACCAAAAAUGUGUACAAUUACAAAGGGUUUUAGAUCUCGGAAAAGUCGCCCUCAGAUCCAGAGGAGAGUUGUCCAAGCUGAGGUUUCUCCUUCAUCCUUCCCUACAAGAGAGCAGAGUGUACACCAUGCGCGCCUCACCGUCCCAGAACACAGGGCCAGUCCUAGCCUGGGGACACAAGGAUUUCAGCAGCAUUUUUCCCUACGGGGUGGACUAAUUGUACAGAACCCCACCCCCUUUCAUUCCUCCCCACUUACUUGAGCACACGCAGCUGCAGUCACCCUUGUGGCUUGGAAGGAAAGGCGGCCUCCUGCACCAAGGCUGCAAGGCCAGUUCCCCAAGGCAGCAGCUGCGAGAGGGAGGGGGGCAGGCGGUGAAAGCUGCACUUUCCUCUGAGCAGAGUAGUGUUCCCUCUGAGGGGCCCCCAGCCCCAGGAGCCGGCUCCCAAGCCCUGGGCCUCCCGCAUGGAAGCAAUGUUGCCUCCUCCAUAGCCUCUAAGCCAUCCGGGCAGGCAAGGUUUGCAAUUUUAACUCUGGCUAUUCAACCACAUUGUCCUUGUUAUAGUUCAAGGGCCAGAUCCAUGUGUAGGAAUCAACUGUUAGGACCAAGCACAGAGGCUUACAGCAAGAGAUUUCAAAGGCCUGAUUUAGCUUGUGAUUAAGAGAACACAACAAGAUAACAGUGAUGAUUGUUUCACCUAAAAAUCACAAAAAGCCCUGUCAUUCAGCGGGUGAGAAAGGGUAACAGAAUGGGAAGAUUCUACAAAGAAACACCUCGGAAGCGUGUUUGCUUUCAGUUUACUCUAUUGUAGACUAUUCAGUUUACAUAUAAUAUUUCACUCUGGUUAUGCUGGCUUCAUUCAAAAAGUGUUAUAAUUGCAUUUUACAGAAAACAUUCAUUACCUGUUUCUAACCCUAGACUUAGAAACGGAGCCAAGCCAGGAAGCAUAGAUCUCAGAUCAGAGCUGUAUUCAAACUUCCCAAAAUCUGGAAGUGGACAGAUCUACUUGGAAAUACCUAUUAGAGCAACCAGCUCAACUCCCUGCUAAUGCAGGAUUGUUUCCCAGCAUUUAGUAGUGCUUUGUCCAGUCACUUAUUAAAUAUUCUGCUGAUGCGGUUUUCAUCACUUCCUGAGGGAGAUUAUUCCCUAACCUGUUUUAGGCUCAGAUUAUUAAAAGCUAUUUAGGCACUGCUGUGCUCAGUACCACAACACCUAACUGAGUUAGAAGCCUAAAUAUCAUGUUCAAAAAGGAUUUAGGUGCUUAGGAGUCUAAAUUCCACCAACAAUGGGAUUUAGACUCCUAAGUACCUAAAUACCUUUUGAACAUGAUAUUUAGGCUCUUACCCCUAAAUACCUUUACAAAUCUGGGCCAGACUGCCAAGAAGACUUUACUUCUAACUACUCUCCUUUUUACCACCCUAGGCAUACACCUCCUCACACCCUUCAAAUAUUUAUAGAUGGUGUCCAGUCCCCACUUUGGCUGGUUUUUAGGACCAAAUUAGGUUUCCUCCUCCAGCUCCCUAAUUAUUUUUGGCCCUGUUUCUGUUAGAAAAACUACCAAGUUUGACAAUGUCUGUCAAAUUCAAUGGUGGCCUAAUCUUAUAGCUACAGAUGGGCCUGAACUAUAAUUGCCCAGCUAUCGUCAAUGGGGUCAACCUGUGUUAACCAGUUUUUAAUCAAAAUGUGUUUUAGGGUCUCUCUGUAUUACAAAUGUAACUGUACCAGAACUAAAUGAAAUAUUCCAGGGGCAAUUACACCACAGUCAAAUAGAGAGGCACUGUUCCAUUAGGAAAAGGAGGACUUGUGGCACCUUAGAGACUAACAAAUUUAUUUGAGCAUAAGCUUUCAUGAGCUACAGCUCACUUCAUCGGAUGCAUUCGGUGGACUGUUCCAUUAGAUGCUGCUUUGCCAUGCAGCUGAAUUAGGUUUUUCAGUUGCUAUGUCACAUUAUUUUUAAGAAAAAAGAAAAGGAGUACUUGUGGCACCUGAAUUUAGCCGUAUAGAGUGGACUCUGAAACCUGUCAUUAUUUUUAAGAGUUUCUAUUAUGCUCAUCACAGCCACAGUUCUGCAAUGACUUACACAGAUGCUGAAAUUUAAGUCAGGAUAUGUCUACACAGCAAAGGAAAACCUGCAGCCUGCCUGUGCCAGCUGACUCGGGCUUGGGUUGUGGGCAGAAGUGUCAGAAGCUCCCGAAAAGUGUGUGUGUGUGUGUGUGUGUGUGUGGGCCACCGGUGCCUGAACCGUGGUCCCACACCUUGCAAUGUCUCUUCCCUCUGAGCCCUCCCCACUCCCCCUGUUCCCCUGAGGCCCUGCCCUCAUGCCGCCUUUUCCCCCCAA